CACUACAUCAACAAAAAAAAACAAAAACAAAAUAGAAAUUCUACUAAGCCCAUAUCCUCAAGAUCAAAGCCAACUCAACACUAAAACAUAAGCAGUGAAGAAAAAAAGGGUGUACCUGGAACUUGCAGGAAAAGCACAAGUAGUGUAGCCUAUAUCAUAUCACCACAAUGUAGAGAGGUUGGUGGGGGGAGAGACUCACUGGGAUCAGAGGCUGAGACGGUGGCUGUGCCGGCGAAGUCACAAGUUCCCUGAGACUGACGUUUCUUCUGAAAGAAGCUGUUGACAGCGUAGGAGCAGUGAGACUUGACGGUGUUUGGGUUAAAGCAAGGUCCGUUCUGGUGAAUGGGUCCACAGUCAGCUCCUGCGCCACAUGCGUAGUCUAAAGUCUUCUGCAGCAUUGCUUCGCUUAAUCCUUCUCUGCAUACACACCAUGUCCCACCUACACACAGACGCACUUUCAUGACCACACAUAAUUAUUUUACUCUCAUUUACUAACUAAGUGUGAAAUGAGCGACCUGAAUCUGUAAUUCAAGAAGGAACAAUGUUGUGGUUCUCCAGAUAAAAAAAAGGCAACACCUUUCUAUGAAAAAAGUAUGAGAAAAACAAGAAAGGGUUAUUCUUUUUAGAAAAUUUUAAUUCAAACUAUGAAAAGCUAAGAAAUUUGAGACCGUGUUCUGUACUAAAACAGAGUUGAUUAAAUGGGAAAAGGUAAAAAAUAUAUUCCUCACGGCAAAAGAAGAUCCAUGUGAUGUGAAACAGAGAAGUGUUAUAUUAUUUCGAGUUUGCAGGAUUUGUACAGAGAGAAGAGUGUCUUACUUGAGUGAC